AUGGCCUCAGGCAAACUCCCCACUGAAGACAAUUGAAGGCUAGAUUCAAACUGAGUGAGGAUGCCCGCAGUUAGCUCUGUGGACUCAACUGUGAGGUCACAAGCAGAGGACUAGGUCAUCGCGAAGGAAGCAGGCUCAAGGAGUGAACUGGGGCAGUGCUUUGGAAGCUGUACCCAGCUGUACAACUGGCUCUGAUCUCUCUGAUGGGCUGAACCAAACUCCUGACCUCGGAACACUCCUGCACCCUGGGGUGCUCGGUAUCCAGACCCCACUACUGCAAUCCAACCCCUGGCUCAGUAGAGAAGCCAAUGAUUCAAUGGGACAUGGAGAAUGAGUUAACCUUUGACCCUCCAAGAUGAUCCUCGCAGCUCGAGACUUAGGCACAUUGGCAAGGAGCUGUGAGGCAGCGUGUGCUGCUGCCCCCCUCCCACCCCCCCAUGCUGUGCCAGUUCUGUACUGCCAGUCCGGCAGGACUCAUGACCGCCAAACUCAUUAAAAAAAAAAUUCAAUAAUUGUCAAUACUACUGCGGCUCAAGAAAGUGCUAGGAAGAGCGUCUGUGCAUGAAAGCCACCAUGACUCUCACUGCAAGAACAAGAACAUGGCAAUUAACAAUGCCAUGAGGAUCAAAGCAGGCUUUGAAAAAGGAACCACCUGUAGCAAUAAGAUGCAUCAUGCUCCUCACAUAUAGGUGACCUUUCAUCUACAGAUCUCAAAGGUCUUUCCAAAGGUAGGAAAGCAUUAUCACUCCUAUAUUCCCGGGGGGGAAUUGAGGCACAGAGCAGUGACGUAUCUUGCCCAGGGCCAUUCAGUAGGUCAGUGGCAAAGCUGGGAACAGAAUCCAAUUAUCCUGACUCCCCAUCUGGUGCCUGGCCUGCUAGGCUGUACUGUCUCCAAAAGGCACAGAGGUAAAAUACCUGCCCCUCGAAGGUUGUUUUUUGCUAAAGUUGCUUCUCCACAGAUUAAGGGCCUGGUAACGGGCUCCCCUGUGCAGCGCAGAUGCCUGCAGAAAUGUCACGCUUCUGCACAGGGUAGAUUUUGGCUGGUAAGUGAUUACGCGCCUCCUCACUGAUGCUCUCUUAGGAAAUUUUAUACACACGCACAAAGCAAGGAAAGCUGCGGUGGCAAGCGGGGAGAUCUGUGAAGCCGAGGGUGGCAGUGAUAAACCUCCUGGAACGCAUGGCAAUUAAUCUUGUGAUGCUGUGAGUCAGCCUAACCCAGAACCACAGCCCGGCGCUGGCGACGAGGCAUGCUACUGACUCCCACCCCAAGGAGUUAAUCUCGGCUUUGGGGACUUUCAAAUGCCAUCAGGCUUAGGAGACAUUAAUUCCGAGGACUAACACCGAAAGAGGCAUGUUCAAGGGUGAGCCCUCUGCAAUGAGAUGUGCACGCACGCUGACAGCAGCUCGCUCGCCUUUGGAACACGCAGCUGGAUGGCGGGCAAGCACUUGUGUGCAUAUCACUGGAAUGCAUGGAGGGAAUUUAUGCAGCCUUUGCAGAGCGGCCUGAUCCAAAGGAUAAAGCAUUAAAUAAAGUGACACAAAAGGGCACGUUUCCAGUGGGCCAUGCCUGGGAUAAAGCACUUCAGUUAAUAUUAACACUGUGAAUUUAAUUCCUGCUGGGAAGAUCUCUCUUUCCCCCCAAAAAUCUGCAGUGCUCCCCUAAGUUUGACAAGCUUUCUGAGGCAGAACCUCUUCCAAUUGUAGCCUUAGGCAUGAAUGCAGUUUGCAGUUUUGACAGCAGAUGUCUCUCCUAUUAUGAUUUAUCAAAAUGCUUUAAAUAAUGCAAACA